GAUGAAGAACGUAGCGAAAUGCGAUAAGUAAUGUGAAUUGCAGAAUUCAGUGAAUCAUCGAAUCUUUGAACGCACAUUGCGCCCGCUAGUAUUCUGGCGGGCAUGCCUGUUCGAGCGUCAUUUCAACCCUCAGGCCCCCAGUGCCUGGCGUUGGGGAUCGGCCGCUGGCGUCCUUCGGGGCGCCUGGCCGGCCCCGAAAUCUAGUGGCGGUCUCGCUGUAGUCCUCCUCUGCGUAGUAGCACACCUCGCACUGGGAAACAGCGCGGCCACGCCGUUAAACCCCCAACUUCUGAACGUUUGACCUCGGAUCAGGUAGGAAUACCCGCUGAACUUAAGCAUAUCAAUAAGCGGAGGA
rnacentral:misc_RNA from 1 species